CCCCUAGAUGUUCUGGGCCGCACGCGCGCUACACUGAACAGUUCAACAAGUCUUAACCUUGGCCGAUAGGUCUGGGUAAUCUUUGAACGCUGUUCGUGAUUGGGAUAGACCUUUGCAAUUAUGGGUCUUCAACGAGGAAUUCCUAGUAAACGCAAGUCAUCAGCUUGCAUUGAUUACGUCCCUGCCCUUUGUACACACCGCCCUUCGCACCUACCGAUUGAAUGGUCCGGUGAAAUCUCGGGACGGCGGCUUGGUCGCUUGCGUCCGACUGCUGAAACUUGAUUAAACCAUAUCAUUUAGAGGAAGGUGAAGUCGUAACA
rnacentral:rRNA from 1 species